ACGAAGGUCCCAAGCGUUGUUCGGAUUUACUGGGCGUAAAGAGUCUGUAGGCGGUGGGGUAAGUCAGAUGUGAAAUCCCGGGGCUCAACCCCGGAACUGCAUCCGAUACUGCCUCACUUGAGGGUUGGAGGGGAGUCUGGAAUUCUCGGUGUAGCAGUGAAAUGCGUAGAUAUCGAGAGGAACACUAGUGGCGAAGGCGAGACUCUGGACAACACCUGACGCUGAGAGACGAAGGCCAGGGGAGCGAAAAGG
rnacentral:rRNA from 1 species